CCUACGGGAGGCAGCAGUGAGGAAUAUUGGUCAAUGGCCGGAAGGCUGAACCAGCCAAGCCGCGUGAAGGACGAAGGUGCCAAGCAUUGUAAACUUCUUUUGUCAAGGGACAAAAUCAGGCUCGAGAGCCUGACCGAGGGUACUUGAAGAAAAAGCAUCGGCUAACUCCGUGCCAGCCGCCGCGGUUAGACGGAGGAUGCGAGCGUUAUCCGGAUUUAUUGGGUUUAAAGGGUGCGUAGGCGGGCUGUUAAGUCAGCGGUAAAAGCCCGGGGCUCAACCCCGGCGAGCCGUUGAAACGGGCUGUCUUGAGAUGUCGAGAGGUAUGCGGAAUGCGCAGUGUAGCGGUGAAAUGCAUAGAUAUUGCGCAGAACUCCGAUUGCGAAGGCAGCAUACCGGCGGCGAUCUGACGCUGAGGCACGAAAGCGUGGGUAUCGAACAGGAUUAGAUACCCCUGUAGUC
rnacentral:rRNA from 1 species